UGCCAGUUCCUUAACUUGCUUGUGCUC
rnacentral:piRNA from 1 species